GUCCAGACUCCUACGGGAGGCAGCAGUGAGGAAUAUUGGUCAAUGGUCGGGAGACUGAACCAGCCAAGCCGCGUGAGGGAGGAAGGUACAGAGUAUCGUAAACCUCUUUUGUCAGGGAACAAAGGCGGGGACGUGUCCCCGGAUGAGUGUACCUGAAGAAAAGGCAUCGGCUAACUCCGUGCCAGCAGCCGCGGUAAUACGGAGGAUGCGAGCGUUAUCCGGAUUUAUUGGGUUUAAAGGGGGCGCAGGCGGUCUGUUAAGCCGGCGUCCGCCCCCCGGCCCCCACCCCCGGCCCGCCGUUGAAACUGGCAGUCUCGAGUUGGAGAGAAGUAUGCGGAAUGCGCGGUGUAGCGGUGAAAUGCAUAGAUAUCGCGCAGAACUCCGAUUGCGAAGGCAGCAUGCCGGCUCCACACUGACGCUGAGGCACGAAAGCGUGGGUAUCGAACAGGAUUAGAUACCCCCGUAC
rnacentral:rRNA from 1 species